ensembl:lncRNA
GUGAUUUUCUUUUUCAAUGGAAUAGAAAUUGUUUAUUUUAAAGCUCCAUUUUGGAAAAGUAUGACAUUUCUUUUUAGAAUAAAUACUAUUUUAUCUUGUACUUGUAGGAAACCUCUUUCAAUAAGCAAAGAGGAAUACCAGCAACAAAGCUGUGUAUAGAAUGGAUGUGGGUACGCAGAACAUUAAAAUGUCCUCUUACCAUUCACAGAGUUGAUUCUGGAGAGAUUCAUGAAAGCAGAUGGGAAAGAUCAGAUGUGUGAGAGGUAGGGUGCAGGUUGCUGUGUCUGAUAAAUAUGUACGCUUAUCCAACUUUGCAGCUCUUGAAGAAAUUCUGAAUAGUUAGGAUACUCAGUAAUAAUGAGUUGUAGCCUGUCCUAUAGAUUGUAUUAGCUGUGUGACCUUGGGCAAUUCAUUUAACUUCUCUGAACUUUUCACUGCCCAUAAAAUGAAACAUAGAGUCCUUAUCUGGAUUACCUGCAUUAUAAGGCUUCCACUACCUCUCCUGCUUACCACCCCCUUCCCAGCACUCUAAGUUCCAGUCAUAUUCAACUCCACAUCACCUCCUGUAUUUUCUUUAGAACACCCUCUGAAAAGAUCUUGUUCAUGUACUUGUUUUCCUUCACCAGACAGUAAGUUUCAUGACAGGAGGGAUCUUGGGUAUUGUUCUUAUCAUAUACCAAGCACUAGAACAAUGCCAGAAAAUUAAUUGGUACGUAGAAAUAAUUGGUGAAUGAGUUCUGGGUAUAUACCCAAAAGAAUUGAAUGCAGGGACUCGAAUAGAUACUUAAAUACCAUGUUCAUAGCAGCAUUAUUCACAAUAGUCAAAAGGUGAAAGCAACCCAAGUGUCCAUCAAUGGAUGAAUGGAUAAACAAACUGUGGUAUAUAUAUACAAUGGAAUAUUAUUCAGCCCUUAAAAGGAAGGGAAAUCCAACGUGCUACAACAUGGAUGAAUCUUGAGGACUUCACGCUAAGUGAAAUAAGCCAGACACAAAAGAACAAAUACUGCAUGAUUCCACUUAUAAGUGGAACAUACACGAGGUUCCUAGAGGAGUCAAAUUCAUAGAAACGGAAAGUAGAAUGGUGAUUGCCAGAGGCUGGGGGAAGGAGGAACAGGAGUUGUUAUUUAAUGGAUAUAGAGUUGUAGCUGGAGAAGAUGAAAAACUUCUGGAGAUGGAUGGUGGUGCUUGUUGUACAACAAUGUUAAAGUUAACUUAAUGCCACUGAAUCGUACACUUACAAGUGGUUAAAAUGGUAAGUUUUCUGUUACGUGUAUUUUAUGACCAAAAUAAAUGGUGAAUCAAUCAGUGUGGAGGUUCUUCACAUAAGUGGGUCUCCCUCCCUGGAACACUGUCUUCUGUCAUUCCUCUACCCUUGCCACAACCUCCCCUUAUUCCUCCAUCUAGCCAACUCCUAGUUAUAUGUUGGCUCUCAGCUUAGAUCAGGGUUUCUCUUAGCUGCAGCACUGGUGGCCUUUUGGACUGAAUAACUCUUUGCUGUGGAGGGCUGUCCUAUGAGUGAGAUUUCGAAAGUGAUUUAACAGCAUCCCUGGCUGCUACCCACUAAAGGCCAUUAGCCCACAGCCUCCCUACCCGCCCCCCCCCCCCCCGACAAUUGUGACAAUCAGAAAUAUCUUGAGACAUUGGGAAGUGUCCCAAAGGUGGGACGUGGGGGAAAAAUUGCCACUGGUUGGGAACCAUGAUUUAGAUGUUACUCUCACUUUCUCUGGAAGUCUCGGCCAAGAGCAGUUUUGGGGCAUCUUUUCUCCCUUAGUGCCUCUAUUCAAUUCCAUCCUUUCCUGUCAUGGUACUUAUCACACUUGAAUUACACUAUCUCUACCACUAGACUGGCAACUACAGCACCUAUCACAGUACCUGGCAUAUAGUGGGUGCUCAUUAUUUACUUUCUGUUUUAUUGCUUUGAACUCAGUUUCCUCAUCUUCAAAAUGGAGAUGAUACUAGAUUGCUUCCCAGAAAUGUGGUGAACAUCAUUUAAUAGGAGAAACACUUUUUUAAAAAAUUAUAAGGCAUUGUAUAGAAAUGAGUUCACAUUAUUAUUGUUGUAAUAAAAUCUUCACUUGGCUCUAACCUAACAGAGUUUAUCCUCCCAACCUCUAACACUUCCUACCGUUCAUUUGCUGUCCUUAAACAAGGUACUAUAUCUUCCAUAGCUCUCCUGUAUCACUUAGUAGGUCAGUGGCUGUGGGGACAGAGUAAGUCCUACUACUAAGAAUAAUUUUGUCUUUAGAAAUGAAGUCUGGGUACAUUAAAGCCAUGAGUUGGAAAUGUACUAGAAGAUGGCUAAUUUGGAGCUUGAUCUUUGGGAGACAAAAACUAAAACACAGGUUUUAGUUCAAGGAGUCAGUUGGUGACUUUGGAGAACAUUGUGAUAGCACUGGUGUCUCCUCUCCACCUUUUGGUAACUUGUCUCACUAUCUUUUUACUCGAUCGUAGGUGUACUUCCUGAUAAGCACCAUAGCCUUUUAGUAGUCUUGAGAAAAUUGUUCUAGUGUUUCCUCCCCUUUAUUUUACUGUCCAUCAAUUUUUCAAAGUGAUUGCAUAGCUCUGGGUUAUUUCAAAUAGAUGUGAACCAUGCUUCUUGUCAUAUCUCCAGUGAUUGAAUAGCCCCCAAUCAGACGGUUAAAAAUGAGGGACUAAUUGAAGACUGCUCCUGCUCCUAGUAUUAUUUGUUAUUUAUACUCAUUAUUCUUCUAGAAAAGAUUCGAAGGGCUUGUUUCAUUCACGUAUGGGUAAUCUAGUAUAUCAACUGGCCUUAUUUGAAGUGGUCUCUGGCAUGUGUUUUCAUUGUAACUUUUGCAAUUGUUUCGACCAAAUGUUUGUUUCACACCCCAUGAUACUGUGAUACGAUAAAAGAUAUAUAUUUGGUCUUGUCCCUGGUUCCUGGCACAGAGUUCAAAACCCUUGUAAUUUCCUGACAGAUAAGGCUGAGAGGAGCAUCUUAUGUUACUCAUAAUAAGCCCCUUUCAACUAUACCUGAGUUUAUGCUAGUGAGGUGACUCUGGGAGUGUGGGGGCUGGUUGCCAGAGGAACCAACUAUGUAAUUAGAGGGUUGGAACUUUUGGCUCCACCCAACAACCUCUUGAAAGGGGAGAGGGGCUGGAGAUGGAUUAAAUCACCAAUGGCCAAUGAUUUGAUCAGGUAUGCCUAUGUAAUGAAGGCUCCAUAAAAUCUCUUAACAACAGGGUUUGUGGAGCCCCAGGUUGGUGAAAGCAUCUAUGGGACUGCAAGGUGAUGCACCCAAACUCCAUGGGACACAAGUGCCUGCGCUCAGGAUCCUUCUGGACAUCACCUCAGCCCCAUUGAAUGCUAAUAAUGGAACAUAAAGGAAUGAACCUGCAAGAACAAAUAGAACAAGAAAGUGGAAGGAUGACGGCUGACUGGAGCUGUCAAUGCAGUGUUGGGAGUCAGAAAGCAGAUGAACAGGUGGGAACCGACUUUGCAGAACAGAGAAAGCUGAUGCCACUUGACUGCAAGAGACAAAGAAAACAAGAAGGAACGAUUUGCUCCACUGCAACGCUGGGAGUUGGAAGACGUUGGAGGAAUGCCUUCCAAAUUAUGAAAGAAAAUGAUCACUAACCCAGGCUUAUACCUCUUUCAAAUUGUCAGCUAAGUGUUCUGGUACCAAUUCUAAUGUGUGUAUGUGGGCUUCUCCCCACAUCAACAGGCAAGUCUUCACAACACCAGCUGGGUGUCCUAUAAUUUAACUCAAGUCCGACACUAUCUACCUGGAGGCAGCAUCAGAUCCCACAGCUUACGGGCUCUGUUCCACAAGAUUGUUUCUCCUCUCUUCAAAUGCCAAUCACAAGUCUAUGUUUUCAUCUGUGCUUCUGACUCAUUGCCUAUAAAUCAGAGAUUCCUACAACCCCCUCCUCAGGUUUGAGUAAUUUGCUAGAGUGGCUAACAGAACUCAGGAAAACUGUUUACUUACCAUUUACCAGUUUAUUAUAAAAGGAUAUGGUAAAGGAUACAGAUGAACAUUCAGAUAGAAGACAUGCAUAGGGCAAAGUAUGUGGGAAGGGACACAGAGCUUCCGUGCCCUCUCUGGGAACACCAAGCUUCCCACUUCUCCACUUUGUCACCAACCUGGAAACUCUCAGAACCCUGCACUUUUGGGAUUUUUAUGGAGGCUUCAUCACGUAGGCGUGAUCAAUUAUUGACUCCAUUUUCAGCCCCUCACCACUCUCUACAGAAGCUGGGGGUGGGGCUGAAAAUGUCAAGCUUCUAAUCAUUAUUACUUGGGUCUUUCUGGUGACCAGCCCCCAUCCAGCAACCAUCCAGGAGCCCACCCUGAGUCACCUUGAUAGAACAAAAGAUGCUCCUAGUGCUCUUAUUACUUAGGAAUUUACAAGGGUUUUAGGAGGCUUGCAUCAGGGAUGAGGUCAAAGACCAAAUAUUAGAACAAGAGAUGCUCCUAGUGUCUUAUCACCUAGAAAAUUACAGGGGUUUUAGGAGCUCUGUGCCAGGAACUGGGGCCAGAGACUGCUAUAGAUUUUGUAUCAUCUCACAUUAACCAAGAGUGAGAGUUGAAUACAGACAUUACCAGAUAGGCAUUGUCUCAAAAAAUGUGUCUCCCAUGUACCCCUUCUCAGGAAGAUUCUAUGGGAUGUGCUCCAAGACAAUAGGGAAUAAAGUAAGAAAAAGGGAAAUGAGAUCCAAUUUAGAAAGAGAUGUAAAUAAUUCCUAUAAAGAUGGCAGAGGGAAGUCCCACAAUGAUAGCUCUGCAGCACGUCAAGAGGUGUAGAUCAGUAUAGACUGGAGAUGGAAGAUAGAGAGCUUUGUGAGAGAAGUCUCCAAGAAAAGAAUAACAUGGAAAUUUGGAUAGAAAAGUAUUUUAAAGAGUUGUUGGAGACUGUGGGCACACUAAGCCAGAGAUUUGAAGAAAGUCAAGUAAGAGAAUAAAUAAAAAUUAACUCCAUGGAAAAGAAAAGGUUAUAUUUAGGGAAGGACAUAUAAUCAUAGGAUACUAUCUGACUCAAUGAGUAGGGCUUCCUGUUCUCUAUCAUAGGACUCCUAUUUGGUUUGAAAUGGUGCAUUCAAUGUGUGAAAGACAAAAUGCCCUGGACAAUUAGAUGAUGAUUUUAUUCAGGCUAUUGCCAUAGGGAUAUUAUUUAUCAAUGAAAAACUUCUCAAAGAAAAGGAAAGGUCCCUUGAGUUUUAUAGAAGCUUAAACAAAGGAAUCAUCGGAGAAUCUCACAGGCAUCAUGAGGUAGGAUGGAGAUGGGUCUUCACUGAGUCACUGAGGAAAGGUGGAGGUGAGUCUUAUCUCAGAAAAUGGGACAGUAGGGUGAUCUUUUGCUGGUUAGCAGUUUCUCGGAAUACAAAUGUGUGGGGAGAUUUCUUAACCUUCUCCAUCUUCUCUGCUUUCUGGUGCACAAGGCUCAGAUAAAUUUCCACAUUGCCUUCCCUUUGGUUCAAGAGGAUAAAUAUCUUCCCUCAGUGAAAAACUUACAGCUGAUUAUAAACUUUCUGAAUGGGGCAAAGCAGGGUCUAGGAAAUAUUGUCUCUUGAGGAUUCUUCUUGGUGUUUUUCCUAUAAAACUAGUUGAACCAUCUGUUGAGAGGUGGUGGCAAAGGUCAGUGGUUUUAGGGCCCUAAAACCUAAAAUCUCCUAGGUCCUAGAAGAUUAGGUCCUAAAGAGAGAGAUGCCUAAAAUGAAG